rnacentral:rRNA from 1 species
AUUGAACGCUGGCGGCAUGCCUUACACAUGCAAGUCGAACGGCAGCACGGGAGCAAUCCUGGUGGCGAGUGGCGAACGGGUGAGUAAUAUAUCGGAACGUGCCCAGUAAUGGGGGAUAGCCCGGCGAAAGCCGGAUUAAUACCGCAUACGACCUACGGGUGAAAGCAGGGGAUCGCAAGACCUUGCGUUAUUGGAGCGGCCGAUAUCAGAUUAGCUAGUUGGUGGGGUAAAAGCCUACCAAGGCGACGAUCCGUAGCUGGUCUGAGAGGACGACCAGCCAAACGGGGACUGAGACACGGCACAGACUCGUACGGGAGGCAGCAGUGGGGAAUGUUGGACCAUGGGCGCAAGGCUGAUCCAGCCAUGCCGCGUGUGGGAAGAAGGCCUUCGGGUUGUAAACCACUUUUAUCAGGGAAGAAACGCUCUGGGCUAAUACCCUGGGGUAAUGACGGUACCUGAAGAAUAAGCACCGGCUAACUACGUGCCAGCCGCCGCCGUAAUAC